rnacentral:lncRNA from 1 species
AACAUGCCCAGUUGGCCGAAGAUUUUAUCUCGGCUAAGCACCAAUGCUUUGCCCGAGUUCAUGCCCAACAAUAACUCCAACAACUUAGAAAAAUAUUGUCUGACUCACUAAGUAAUCCUCGAGUUAAAUGAACAAAAUUACCUUUCCUCCUGCCUUGACCCCACCUACAGCUCCACCUGCCCAAGCUAACCAACCUUGUCAAUAUUGUGG